UCCCUGGUGGUCCAGUGGUUAAGAAUCUGCCUUCCAAUGCAGAGGACACAGGUUUGAUCCCUGAUCAGGGAA
rnacentral:tRNA from 1 species